rnacentral:rRNA from 1 species
AUUGAACGCUGGCGGCAUGCCUUACACAUGCAAGUCGAACGGCAGCACGGGUGCUUGCCCCUGGUGGCGAGUGGCGAACGGGUGAGUAAUACAUCGGAACAUGUCCUGUAGUGGGGGAUAGCCCGGCGAAAGCCGGAUUAAUACCGCAUACGAUCUACGGAUGAAAGCGGGGGACCUUCGGUCCUCGCGCUAUAGGGUUGGCCGAUGGCUGAUUAGCUAGUUGGUGGGGUAAAGGCCUACCAAGGCGACGAUCAGUAGCUGGUCUGAGAGGACGACCAGCCACACUGGGACUGAGACACGGCCCAGACUCCUACGGGAGGCAGCAGUGGGGAAUUUUGGACAAUGGGCGAAAGCCUGAUCCAGCAAUGCCGCGUGUGUGAAGAAGGCCUUCGGGUUGUAAAGCACUUUUGUCCGGAAAGAAAUCCUUGGCCCUAAUACGGUCGGGGGAUGACGGUACCGGAAGAAUAAGCACCGGCUAACUACGUG